rnacentral:rRNA from 1 species
CCUACGGGAGGCAGCAGUGGGGAAUAUUGGACAAUGGGCGAAAGCCUGAUCCAGCAAUGCCGCGUGAGUGAUGAAGGCCUUCGGGUCGUAAAGCUCUUUUACCAGGGAUGAUAAUGACAGUACCUGGAGAAUAAGCUCCGGCUAACUCCGUGCCAGCAGCCGCGGUAAUACGGAGGGAGCUAGCGUUGUUCGGAAUUACUGGGCGUAAAGAGUACGUAGGCGGUUAUUCAAGUCAGAGGUGAAAGCCCGGGGCUCAACCCCGGAACUGCCUUUGAAACUAGAUAACUAGAGUCUUGGAGAGGUUAGUGGAAUUCCGAGUGUAGAGGUGAAAUUCGUAGAUAUUCGGAAGAACACCAGUGGCGAAGGCGACUAACUGGACAAGUACUGACGCUGAGGUACGAAAGCGUGGGGAGCAAACAGGAUUAGAUACCCUGGUAGUCCACGCCGUAAACGAUGAUAACUAGUUGUUCGGUCACUUGGUGACUGAGUGACGCAGCUAACGCAUUAAGUUAUCCGCCUGGGGAGUACGGUCGCAAGAUUAAAACUCAAAGGAAUUGACCGGNNGAAGAGUGCGAGACGACACGAGGAGAGG